rnacentral:misc_RNA from 1 species
AACCCUUGUGGAGGAGGACGCCGAAGGUGGGGCUAAUGACUGGGGUGAAGUCGUAACAAGGUAGCCGUACCGGAAGGUGCGGCUGGAUCACCUCCUAACAGGGAGACAACAAAAUGUAAAUAUUAAUUUUGUCACCUUAGGUCGAUCGGUAUCUCAGAUUCUUAUUUUUUAAGAAUUUCAGUUUCUAAGUUUUUUCUAGGUCACACCCAUCACUUUUUCCUGGGCCAUUAGCUCAGGUGGUUAGAGCGCACCCCUGAUAAGGGUGAGGUCCCUGGUUCAAGUCCAGGAUGGCCCAUAUCUCUAUGUUGGGGGUAUAGCUCAGUUGGUAGAGCGCCUGCUUUGCAAGCAGGAUGUCAGCGGUUCGAGUCCGCUUACCUCCACUGAAUACCACCUCUUACAUUUAUUUAAAGAUGGAAAUUGUUUUGAGUCGUGUCCUAAAUUUGCUCUGAGCGAAUCUAGCUUCCUAUUUUAUCCAAUAAAUAAGAUGCUGGACUCAUUGAAUUUUUUUCAUUGUUUUCAGAGAACCUUGACAACUGCAUAGAUUAUUUUUGAAGACAAUAAGCAUCUUUAAUGAUGCAGAUUUAUUAUUUGUGCGAAUGCAUUAAAUAACAAUUCUAUUAAGCUGAUGCUUCAAUUUUUGAAGUUAUUGGUCAAGCUACAAAGGGCUCACGGAGGAUACCUAGGCACACAGA